rnacentral:rRNA from 1 species
CAGCAGCCACGGGAAUACGAAGGGGGCUAGCGUUGUUCGGAUUUACUGGGCGUAAAGGGCGCGUAGGCGGACUGAUAAGUCAGGGGUGAAAUCCCAAGGCUCAACCUUGGAACUGCCUUUGAUACUGUUUGUCUUGAGUUCGAGAGAGGUAAGUGGAACUGCGAGUGUAGAGGUGAAAUUCGUAGAUAUUCGCAAGAACACCAGUGGCGAAGGCGGCUUACUGGCUCGAUACUGACGCUGAGGCGCGAAAGCGUGGGGAGCAAACAGGAUUAGAGACCCCCGUAGUCCCUGUCUCUUAUAC